rnacentral:rRNA from 1 species
CCUACGGGAGACUGCAGUGAGGAAUAUUGGUCAAUGGACGAGAGUCUGAACCAGCCAAGUAGCGUGAAGGAUGACUGCCCUAUGGGUUGUAAACUUCUUUUAUAAAGGAAUAAAACGAGGCACGUGUGCCUUUUUGCAUGUACUUUAUGAAUAAGGAUCGGCUAACUCCGUGCCAGCAGCCGCGGUAAUACGUAGGUGGCAAGCGUUGUCCGGAAUUACUGGGUGUAAAGGGAGCGCAGGCGGGAAGCCAAGUCAGCUGUGAAAACUACGGGCUUAACUUGUAGACUGCAGUUGAAACUGGUUUUCUUGAGUGAAGUAGAGGUUGGCGGAAUUCCGAGUGUAGCGGUGAAAUGCGUAGAUAUUCAGAGGAACACCGGUGGCGAAGGCGGCCAACUGGGCUUUAACUGACGCUGAGGCUCGAAAGUGUGGGGAGCAAACAGGAUUAGAUACCCCAGUAGUC